rnacentral:rRNA from 1 species
CAGCCGCCGCGGGAAUACGGAGGAUCCAAGCGUUAUCCGGAUUUAUUGGGUUUAAAGGGUGCGUAGGUGGCCUGUUAAGUCAGGGGUGAGAGACGGUAGCUUAACUAUCGCAGUGCCUUUGAUACUGACGGGCUUGAAUGAACUGGAGGCAGGCGGAAUGUGACAAGUAGCGGUGAAAUGCAUAGAUAUGUCACAGAACACCAAUUGCGAAGGCAGCUUGCUACGGUUUUAUUGACACUGAGGCACGAAAGCGUGGGGAGCAAACAGGAUUAGAGACCCCUGUAGUCCCUGUCUCUUAUAC